ACUUAAGUAUAUCCCCGGGAACAUUAUAAGCUCGGCAAUCGUACAAAGUAAAUGAUGCAUUUCCUUUCAAUCGAUAGACAAAAAGUGGACGGAGGGCUUCUAUGACACAUCCAUGGCCUACUGCUGGAAGUCGAUUGGCGGUCUCCAUGUCCUGAAAUGCUAGUUCUAUAAUUAGGAAGCAACCGUAAGGACUGGACUCACAAAGACCCAUGAAGCCGUACUGGACUCACAAAGAACCAUGAAGCCAACAGUCCACGUCAACUGGAUGUUUGAGCUUCCAUUUUGUACAACUGAUGUCUCAUACUUGCAUUUUUAUCUAUCCUUUUCUGAUCAUGAUGUAUGGUGUCUUAGUGGUUAUGUUUAGAACAGACUGAAGUGUAUGUAUGUGACAAUUAGUUAAUGGAAUAAAAAAAUGUUUGGUGCA